rnacentral:rRNA from 1 species
CAGGACGACGCUGGCGGCGUGCUUAACACAUGCAAGUCGAACGGGGAUGUUCUGAAGUUUUCGGAUGGAAGGACAUUCUAGUGGCGGACGGGUGAGUAACGCGUGAGGAACCUGCCUCGAACUGGGGGAUAACAACGAGAAAUCGUUGCUAAUACCGCAUAAGACCACAGAGCCGCAUGGCUGAGGGGUCAAAGAUUUUAUCGGUUUGAGAUGGACUCGCGUCUGAUUAGCUAGUUGGUGAGGUAACGGCCCACCAAGGCGACGAUCAGUAGCCGAGCUGAGAGGCUGAUCGGCCACACUGGGACUGAGACACGGCCCAGGCUCCUACGGGAGGCAGCAGUGGGGAAUAUUGGGCAAUGGGCCGCAAGCCUGACCCAGCAACGCCGCGUGAAGGAAGAAGGUUUUCGGAUUGUAAACUUCUGUCCUUGGGGACGAAACAAAUGACGGUACCCAAGGAGGAAGCCCCGGCUAACUACGUGCCAGCCGCGGC